AAGUCAGUGGUGAAAUCCUAUCGCUUAACGAUAGAACUGCCAUUGAAACUGUUUUUCUUGAGUAUAGAUGAAGUGGGCGGAAUGUGUCAUGUAGCGGUGAAAUGCAUAGAUAUGACACAGAACACCGAUUGCGAAGGCAGCUCACAAAAGCAACACUGACGCUAAUGGACGAAAGCGUGGGGAGCGAACAGGAUUAGAUACCCUGGUAGUCCACGCUGUAAACGAUGAUUACUCGGUGCUAGCGACAUACAGUUAGUGCCUAAGCGAAAGCGAUAAGUAAUCCACCUGGGGAGUACGGUCGCAAGAUUGAAACUCAAAGGAAUUGACGGGGGCCCGCACAAGCGGUGGAGCAUGUGGUUUAAUUCGAUUCAACGCGAAGAACCUUACCAGGACUUUUAUCUAUUUAAUUUUAAGAAAUUAAAAUUUAGUGAAGUAGAAAUAGGUGGUGCAUGGCUGUCGCCAGCUCGUGUCGUGAGAUGUUGGGUUAAUUCCCUUAACGAGCGCAACCCUUGUUUGGUCAGUUGUUAUGGAUUUCUGAGAAGACUGCCGAUGAGAAAUCGGAGGAAGGUAAGGAUGACGUCAAGUCAGUAUGCCCCGUAUGUCCUGGGCUACACACGUGCUACAAUGGUUAAGACAAAGAGCCGCUUACUUGUAAAAGAUGAAGAAGCCAAAGUAAGUAAAAUUAUUUUAGUAAGAGCAAAUCUCCAAACUUAAUCGAAGUUCGGAUUGUAGGCUGCAACUCGCCUACAUGAAGUUGGAAUCGCUAGUAAUCGCUGGUCAGCAGUACAGCGGUGAAUUCGUCCCUGGGCCUUGUACACACCGCCCGUCACACCAUGGAAGUUGGUCAGGCUGGAAACUAAUAUUAAAUUAGUAGUUAAAGUGGGGCGAGCGACUGGGGUGAAGUCGAAACAAGGUAGCCGUACUGGAAGGUGCGGCUGGAUCAUCUA
rnacentral:rRNA from 15 species